UCUAAAUUUCAUUACAAGAUCCGGAGACGAGCGAGACUUAAGUGGAAAGAGAAAAGGAUAACGGAUUUAAUGGCAAAAGUUCCAAACUAUCCAGUCCUCCUGAAGGGCAAAACACCACAAGAAGUUGCUGACUAUUACGACCACUGGGCUGAAAAUUUUAACCUUUACCCUGCUGAAUUUCUAAAAUGGACUGGUCCAUCAUUCAAUUUGGGCAACACCAUUUAUUAUUCAAAGGGGUGUUUGCUGAAAAUUUACUGACUGAACAGCGAACAGUGCAGACCAUGAUCAGACUGCACGGAUGUGCAGGCUGAUCUUGGUCUGCACUGGUCGCAAAGGCAGAAAUAUUUGCCGCCAGCAGGCUAAAGGUUAAAUAUGACCAGGUAUCAAUUAUCAAUAAAAUUGACACAAUUUAUUCAACUCAAGCUUUUUCUUAUACAUUGUAUUAUAUGAACUAUAUGUAUUAGAAAUAAAUAAAAUUUUACAUUUUCUCAACUCAUGAAUAUAUUGCAUCUGGUGUGCACUCAGCAAAAACUGUUUUGAUCAUACAUCUUCAUUAAAUUAGUAUUCAUUUUAUUUCGUGCCUUUUUAAAUCUUUAAAAUUAAUCUUACCCAUUUAACUCGUGCAAAUUUGUGCCGUUCGGGCAAUAAGGCACAUUCUUAUGUGCUAUUUUAUUAUAUAAAUGUAUUUUGCUUUUUUUGUCUUCGUAGAUGCCAGGAUAUGCUAACUCUUUGCCAGGGUCCAGGAAUGUGCCAGUGACAAGUUAUUAGCACAUUUUGCCUUUGUCGCAUCAGAACACAAGACUUAAAGUCGAAUACAUACAACGGUCCAAAAUAUAUUGCUGACGAGGUGGCUGCUUGUUUCCCAGAGAACAGAAACAAAUAAAGAUUAUUGACAUUGCCUGUGGAACUGGUUUCGUUGGAGAAAAGUUGGCAGUUGAUGGCUUUACAUUUAUCGACGGCCUCGACCCUUCUAAUGGAAUGCUGUCACAAUGCAAGGACAAAGGCCUCUAUAAUAAACUGUACAAAGAAUUCUGUGGUGAUACAACCCUACCAAUU